rnacentral:rRNA from 1 species
AACGAACGCUGGCGGCGUGCCUAACACAUGCAAGUCGUACGCGAAAGGGGGCAACCCCCGGUAGCGUGGCAGACGGGUGAGUAACACGUGGGUAAUCUGCCCCGAGGUGGGGAAUAACUUUCCGAAAGGAAGGCUAAUACCGCAUGACAUCGUGGAGUCCUCGGGCUCUGCGAUCAAAGCUGACCUCUGUUUACAAGCUAGCGCCACGGGAGGAGCCCGCGCCCCAUUAGCUAGUUGGUGAGGUAACGGCUCACCAAGGCAACGAUGGGUAGCCGGCCUGGGAGGGGGAUCGGCCACACUGGAACUGAGACACGGUCCAGACGCCUACGGGAGGCAGCAGUGAGGAAUAUUGCGCAAUGGGCGAAAGCCUGACGCAGCGACGCCGCGUGGAGGAUGAAGGUCUUCGGAUUGUAAACUCCUGUCGUGCGGGACGAAUGCCUCGGUCGCUAAUAUCGGCCGGGGUUGACGGUACCGCAGGAGGAAGCCCCGGCUAACUCCGUGCCAGCAGCCGCUGUAACAC